rnacentral:rRNA from 1 species
GAGUAACACGUGGGCAAUCUGCCCUUCACUCUGGGACAAGCCCUGGAAACGGGGUCUAAUACCGGAUAACACUCUGUCCCGCAUGGGACGGGGUUAAAAGCUCCGGCGGUGAAGGAUGAGCCCGCGGCCUAUCAGCUUGUUGGUGGGGUAAUGGCCUACCAAGGCGACGACGGGUAGCCGGCCUGAGAGGGCGACCGGCCACACUGGGACUGAGACACGGCCCAGACUCCUACGGGAGGCAGCAGUGGGGAAUAUUGCACAAUGGGCGAAAGCCUGAUGCAGCGACGCCGCGUGAGGGAUGACGGCCUUCGGGUUGUAAACCUCUUUCAGCAGGGAAGAAGCGAAAGUGACGGUACCUGCAGAAGAAGCGCCGGCUAACUACGUGCCAGCAGCCGCGGUAAUACGUAGGGCGCAAGCGUUGUCCGGAAUUAUUGGGCGUAAAGAGCUCGUAGGCGGCUUGUCACGUCGGAUGUGAAAGCCCGGGGCUUAACCCCGGGUCUGCAUUCGAUACGGGCUAGCUAGAGUGUGGUAGGGGAGAUCG